UGCCGGGAACUGCGCGGCGGCAGGUCGGUGAACCCCGCCAGGACUGGAAGGUAGCAACGGUAAGUCGGUUCUCCGUGCGACGCAUCCUUCCCGGCUUUU
rnacentral:SRP_RNA from 1 species